rnacentral:rRNA from 1 species
GACCCAAAUCAGGUAAGGACACCCGCUGAACUUAAGCAUAGCAAUAAGCGGAGGAAAAGAAAAUAACAAUGAUUCCCCUAGUAACUGCGAGUGAAGAGGGACAAGCUCAAAUUUUAAAUCUGUUAGGUUUACCUGACCGAGUUGUAAUUUGAAGAAGCGUUACCUGCGCGGUUGGUCAGCCCAAGUCCUAUUGAAUGAGGCAUCAUGGAGGGUGAUAAUCCCGUCCGGUUGAUCGAUGCGUUUUACGAUACGCUCUCAAAGAGUCAAGUUGUUUGGGAUUGCAGCUUAAAAUGGGAGGUAAAUUUCUCCUAAGGCUAAAUAUUGGCGAGAGACCGAUAGCGAACAAGUACCGUGAGGGAAAGAUGAAAAGUACUUUGAAAAGAGAGUUAAAUAGCACGUGAAAUUGUUGAAAGGGAAACGAUUGAAG